rnacentral:rRNA from 1 species
UACGUAGGAGGCAAGCGUUGUCCGGAAUUACUGGGCGUAAAGCGCGUGUAGGUGGUGGGACAAGUCUGCUGUGAAAGCGCCUGGCUUAACCGGGCGAGGUCGGCGGAAACUGUCCGACUCGAGGACGGUAGAGGGGGGUGGAAUUCCCGGUGUAGCGGUGAAAUGCGUAGAUAUCAGGAGGAACACCGGUGGUGUAGACGGCUUACUGGACCAUAACUGACGCUGAGACACGAAAGCGUGGGUAGCAAACAGG